GCACCCGUUUGCUUCAUGCGCACUUCUGUAUCAGACGCCAUUUUGUCAGGCUGCCCCUCCUGCUGUCGUCUGUCAAACAGCAACAAAAUAUAACUGAAUGUUGUCAGGAAGGUUCAACCUCUAUUGCUGUACCACCAACACCACCUUUGACAUUUUAGGCCAGCAUAAUGAAAUAGCAGACGUUACUUCAGAGCAGCCCUCCUAUUUCCCAUCUGUUUCAUUUGUGAGACGCAGAAGACUGGAGACAAAAGAGUGUCACAGUGUGGAUCUAGCAAUAGCCACAUGAUUGAAAAGCUUGCCUGGGAUGUCUGGCACCUGGGCUCACUGACAGGUCUCCCACACAAAGCUCAGUGAGAGCACAGAGCUCAGUUCAGAAUCUGAAUGCCUGCCUCUAAUCUGAAAGGAGAGACCAGCCUUUAUGUUGUUUGAUAAAGCAGCAACUUGUUUUUGCAACGACUUGUAAAGUGAUAAGAAGCGUGACUGUGCCACCAGACUAAGAAGUCCUGUAAGGGAGUUACCUCAUGUUGCCACAUUUUGUUAUAGCCAAGUUGCAGCAACCAGAUACAUUUCAACUCACUGGAAGUACAUACGAGGUAACGUGGCAUAAUUGUCCCUCUGCAAGCAUAUGUCUCCGAACUAUUGUUUAAAACUGCCAGAUGCAACUUCGUUCUUUUUUAAGAGUAAGGCAACAAGUCAGACUCUGUCGUUAUAAUCGUUCCCAAAGGGCAUUUGAAGCACUUUGCAACCAAAAGGUUGUGAUUACACCUCAAUUGCCAUACUGCUUAUUAUUGCUUAUUGCUUAAUUAUGGAACCGUAAUAUGUUUCUUGGAUGCUGUCAGCUAAGUGGCAUUAUUUGGUUCUCACGCUCUGCUUCAUUUUUGCAUGGGACAGGGAAGCUUUGUGAUGUUCUGAUAUGAUGGAGGGGAUAGCAGUAGGAUGGCCAGCUCAAUUCUGACCUUCAGGAGAACAGGACAUUGAAUUCUUGCCCUGCCAAUUGCUUGACUUGGGCAAGUCUUUCCCUACACUCAGGUGCUUAAGGCUUAAUGAAUAUGUGGGAUAAACAGUGGGCUUCAUCUUAACCUCUAGGUGUGGGUUCAAGAUGCUUAAGCCACUACUUUCAGCGUGUGCAAAUCCAGCUGUCUUGGUUUAAAUGGUCUUCAUUGACCUACAGUAGCUGAGGUGUGUGUGUAGGGUGAGAGAGCAGAGGAACAGAGUUUUAAUAUCUUGAAAUAUUCUAGCUAGUGUCACAGGGCACAGUGAU